CAGGGUAACACAUGAAUGAACUAGGGCUUGGUUGCUUUCCAUCCACAACAUGCCACGACGAGCUGUAACGAUGCCUAACUCACUGCAGCAAAAGUGUACACCACAAUGUGGUGGGAUUUUACAAUAGAGAAUCAUGUGGCCACAUCUUUUUACUUGAACCAAGCAACCGCCUCUUGUGGUGUGGUGUGUCUUAUCCUUCGCGUGGCAAAGGAUAGUGGGGAACCAACCCCCCUUCCUCCCACCCCCACCCAUCCAUCCAAAAUUUUUUGCCCAUAAAUUGUCUCUUCAAGGUAAGAACUAAGAACACGAGUGUGAGCAUAUAGGAGAUUGCUGUUGAGAAAUUUUGAACUGAAGAUUGUAUCUCAACUGUUUCUUCUGCGUUCAACCAAAAAAUAUGUGGUUGUAAUUCUGAUAAUCUUGUCUUGUCUGGACGUCAUCCAAAAUUGUGGUGAUAACAACAAUAUUGCCGGUAUUCACCAAUGUUUUUUUUUUAUUUUUAGGGUACGUUUGGAUCUUUUUUUACUAGUUGUUAGUUCAACUAAAGUUAGGUGAAAAAACUUUGGCCAACUAAAUCUCGGUCCUGUGUUGUUUAAACGGUAAUGAUAUAUGACGGGCGUCUGAAUGGAACAGACGGACCCGCACAGACUCGAUCAAGUCGUUCUUUGGACUUGCUCGCUCAUCUCCGUUCUCCACCCGCACAGAUACGCACAUCUCUUUUCCCUACUUGCUCUAUCCGCUCGUCCGCUCUCCCCGUGCUCCUUCCGCACCCAGUUGUUGCCACGCCACACAAGUCGCUGCCGCCGCUCAAUCCCUCCCUCCCCGACCGCCGUGAUACGCACUGUUCUUUGAAGCCGCCUCAGGACAGACGCCACACCCGCGCAGGUCACUGCCGCUGCUCCCUCUCUCCCUCCACAACCUUCAUGUGACCGCACCGAAGACAAAGGGCGAUCACGGCAACUCCGGUGAGGCAGGUGGGUUAUUCUCCUCUUCCUCCUCCUUCUCCUAUAGAUCUGAGCCUUCGUCUUCGUCGUCGUCCUCCUCCUCCUCCUCUGGAUCUGAGGGACACAGUGGUGGCUAGGGGUCUAUGAACUCUUUUACUCCGAUGAGCUCGAAGGUGAUGGGCCAGGGUUGGAGCAGAACACAUCCCCUUGCUAUUUUUGCACGUCCUUUUUGUUGUUUCUCUGUGUUGCAAUGAUUUUUUUGAUGUUGUGAUAGAUGAUUUCGAAUGUUGCAAUGAGAUUCUUAGGUUGCUGCAAUAGAUGACUUUCGAAUAUUUCAUUUUCAUGUUUCAUGGUUAGCUUUUGCGAUGUUGCAAUACUACCAUUCGAGAUGGUGCAACACAUAAUUUUGG
rnacentral:lncRNA from 1 species